GACGAACCGUGCGAACGUUAUUCGGAAUCAUUGGGCUUAAAGGGCGCGUAGGCGGCCCGUUAAGUGGGGGGUGAAAGUCCGGCGGCUCAACCGCGGAAGCGCUUCCCAUACUGGCGGGCUGAGAGGGAGGUAGGGGUCGGCGGAACUUCCGGUGGAGCGGUGAAAUGUGUUGAGAUCGGAAGGAACGCCAGUGGCGAAAGCGGCCGACUGGACCUCGCCUGACGCUGAGGCGCGAAAGCUAGGGGAGCAAACGGG
rnacentral:rRNA from 1 species